rnacentral:piRNA from 1 species
UUAGUUGUCCAUACGUUUCUC